UACAGAGGUCUCAAGCGUUGUUCGGAUUCAUUGGGCGUAAAGGGUGCGUAGGCGGCGCGGUAAGUCGGGUGUGAAAUCUCGGGGCUUAACUCCGAAACUGCAUUCGAUACUGCCGUGCUUGAGGACUGGAGAGGAGACUGGAAUUUACGGUGUAGCGGUGAAAUGCGUAGAUAUUCGCAAGAACACCAGUGGCGAAGGCGGCUCACUGGCCCGGUACUGACGCUGAGGUGCGAAAGCGUGGGGAGCAAACAGG
rnacentral:rRNA from 1 species